CUGAGGCGGGGAGGAGGGGAGGGUAGACGGGGUGGCCGCUUCCUCCCAUUUAGCGGCGAGGGAGCGGCGGGAGCGCGUUCGGCUGGCCGCGUUGUGACGCCGGGCGGCCGGAGGGGACUGCCGGCGGGGGGCGGGGGGAGCCGUCUGCGCCGCGGCCGCUGCUGCUGCUGCUGCUGCUGCCCGCUCCUCCUCCUGCCGCUCGGCGGAGCGCCCUCCACCCCGCCCUCUCUCCGCCCGGGACCGAGUGUGGUGGCCACAAAAUGGCGGAUGGGGAGCUGAACGUGGACAGCCUCAUCACCCGGCUGCUGGAAGUACGAGGAUGUCGUCCUGGGAAGAUUGUUCAGAUGACAGAAGCAGAAGUUCGGGGCUUGUGCAUAAAAUCACGAGAAAUAUUUCUUAGCCAGCCUAUUCUCCUGGAACUAGAGGCACCGCUGAAGAUCUGUGGUGAUAUUCAUGGUCAGUAUACAGAUUUGCUUCGACUAUUUGAAUAUGGAGGAUUUCCACCAGAAGCGAAUUAUCUUUUCCUUGGAGAUUAUGUAGACAGAGGCAAACAGUCUCUGGAAACAAUUUGCCUACUUCUGGCAUAUAAAAUCAAGUACCCAGAAAACUUCUUUCUCUUAAGAGGAAAUCACGAGUGUGCUAGCAUCAACCGGAUCUACGGAUUCUAUGAUGAAUGUAAACGGAGGUUUAACAUUAAGCUUUGGAAGACCUUCACAGACUGCUUUAAUUGUCUGCCUAUUGCAGCCAUUGUGGAUGAGAAAAUCUUCUGCUGUCAUGGAGGACUGUCUCCAGAUCUCCAGUCAAUGGAGCAGAUCCGGAGAAUUAUGAGACCUACAGACGUUCCUGACACAGGCUUACUAUGUGACCUGCUGUGGUCUGACCCAGACAAAGAUGUGCAAGGUUGGGGUGAAAAUGAUCGUGGGGUCUCUUUCACUUUUGGUGCUGAUGUGGUCAGUAAAUUUCUGAAUCGUCAUGAUUUGGAUUUGAUCUGUCGAGCUCACCAGGUGGUUGAAGAUGGAUAUGAAUUCUUUGCAAAACGGCAGUUGGUCACCCUAUUCUCAGCUCCAAAUUAUUGUGGAGAGUUUGACAAUGCAGGUGGCAUGAUGAGUGUGGAUGAAACUCUGAUGUGUUCCUUUCAGAUAUUGAAGCCAUCUGAAAAGAAAGCCAAGUACCAGUAUGGUGGACUGAAUUCUGGGCGUCCAGUCACUCCACCUCGCACAGCUAAUCCACCGAAGAAGAGGUGAAGAAAGGAAUAAUGUAGAAAAACCAUCAGAUCUGUCAAGGACAAAACUCCAUAUUACAGUAUAUAAUAAGUGUGCACUGUAAAACCAUCCAGCCAUUUGACACCCUUUAUGAUGUCACACGUUUAACUUAAAGAGACGGUGAGUGACUUGAACCUGCCUGAAGCUUUCUUGAACCUGCCUGAAGCUUUCUUGAACCUGCCUGAAGCUUUCUUGAACCUGCCUGAAGCUUUCUUGAAAAGUUUGUUGGUCUACUUGAGUCAAGCAAAGCAGUGCUUUGUCAACAUUCCACACAUCUGUCUUUAAAAUAA